ensembl:lncRNA
GGAGCAAUGACGACCGGCCCAACAUUUUCUCCAUAAUUACCGGUAUGUUGAACGUGGGGCCAUCUUUGAACUUUCUAAAGAGCCAUCGCAAUGGGGAAACUCAACCGAGCAGUGCUGUAACUGUUUCACAUGACUCAUUUAUUCUAUAGAGGGCAUUGGAUGAGCCAUCCACCUCCACCUCCACCUCAACCUUCUCAAGGCCUUCUCGAGGGACAGACAAGAUUGGAACAGACACUAUAAGGGCGCUGUACAAGCGCAACUUGGAGCUGGACAACGACAUCAAAGUCUUGGUGAAAAAAAAAUUGAAGAUAGAGAUCCAGCUCCUCGAGAGGCAACUGCAUGGCGAUGCGAUGGCUAAUAAAUAAAAUAAUUGAACAAGAGCAAAUGUUUUUCCGUCCAUUGUAUUUAUUGAACAAAAGUCACAAUGAAGUUAUGAGAUUAUCAAAUGGAAUGACACAUUAACAUUCAUACCAAAUGUAGCCUACUUAAUAAGCA